GUGAGGGAGGAGCUUCAUCCCGCAAGUCCAGUUGCAAAGCAACCAGACUGUGGUGCCAGUGUUAAGAUGUAAUGCUGGCACUGUGGAACCAGAGUUCCAGGCAGCAGACCUCACUACAAACUGAAGAUCACCUUUUCACUUCACUCAAAGUUCUCAGACUGGAGAUGAUGGACGAAUAGCUGGAACUUGUGUGAACACUGAAAGCUACAGUGAUGAAGGCUUAUGGACUGAGAUUCCCUGUAGUCAGAACUGGCAGUUUUGCUGAGCUCUGGAUACCAGGACACUUAAGACUGAUGAUGGCAUGUAGGAGGAGGAUGCUGCUGUAAUUCUACCAAGCAGAAUCUGAAAAAAAACGCAGGGGCUUUGUAAAGCCCACUGCCAGGAAGUGACAAACUUUUACAAGCCUCA